GUUAUUAUUAUUUUUGCAUGUUCAUUUAUUUUCAUUGUAUAGAAAUUCACAUGUCUUUUACUUGAUAUGAUGAUUUUGGAAUAUGUUCCAUUCAUAAUGGGAUUUGCAAUUUGUACGACUUGUAUAUUUCAAUAUGCAACUGUCCACAAAUCAAGUUGUUCAUUUUAUGAAUCUCCAUUUAAAUGAGAAAUAUUUAAUUACAAUAUUGCUAGACAUAUAUAGGUGUUAAACAUGAGUACUAGACGCAGGGUUAAACAAUCUGUAGGCCCUAUGACUGAUAGCAGCAGCCAGCCUCAGCUGCCCCAAACUAAUGUUGGUCAUGCCUAGCCUCAGCUACCUCAGGCUACUAGUGAUUCAACGUCUAAGAAACCAAGGACUCGAGGCCCCACACGAUGCUUUGAUGUAUGGAAAAUGCGUGAAGGUCAACGGAUUUCUAUUUCCAUCAACGAUGUAGGGCAGCCCAUUUGUGACAAUGCUAGUAAGCUGACAAAUUUCAUAGGAACAAUAGCAUGCAAUGGAGAAUAUGCUCCCCUUACAUUUAAUGAUUAAAGGGCAGUGCCGAAUGCGAAGAAAGAUGAUAUGUGGGGGCUUGUCCUGUCAAAGUUUGAGUUUGAUGGUAAUGCUAAGGCUUAGGUGCUGAAGUCAAUUGGUAAAAAAUGGAGGGAAUGGAAGCGCAAGCUGAAGAAACUCCACUACUCUUCUCAUGAGACUGAUGAGGAGCGGCUCGCAGAUCUUGAUGAGCAGGUCCAAGAGGAUCAAUGGAAGACUCUCAUUCAAUUUUGGAGCUCUGAAGAGGGGAAGGCUCGUUCUAAAACAAAUAUAGAGAAUCGGAAGAAACAACUGAUUAACCACGUGGCAGGCGCGAAGAGUUUUGUGCGAAUACGUGAAGAAGAGGUAAAUUUUAUUAAUAACCUGACUAACCAUGUUAGUAUAUUUGUGUUAUAUAACUUGUUUACAUAAUAAUAGAGGAAAAAGGCCAAUGGGGAGGGUCUAAGCCGAGUAAAUAUGUUUAUAUUGACUCAUACAUGCA